CCUACGUGGUGCAGCAGUGAGGAAUAUUGGUCAAUGGCCGUAAGGCUGAACCAGCCAAGUAGCGUGAGGGAAGACUGCCCUAUGGGUUGUAACCCUCUUUUAUGCGGGGAUAAAGGUGUCCACGUGUGGAUGUUUGCAGGUACCGCAUGAAUAAGGACCGGCUAAUUCCGUGCCAGCAGCCGCGGUGAUACGGAAGGUACGGGCGUUAUCCGGAUUUAUUGGGUUUAAAGGGAGCGUAGGCCGGUCUUUAAGCGUGCCGUGAAAUUUUGGGGCUCAACCAUGAGAGUGCGGCGCGAACUGGAGACCGUGAGUGCGCGGAAGGCAGGCGGAAUUCGUGGUGUAGCGGUGAAAUGCUUAGAUAGCACGAAGAACCCCGAUUGCGAAGGCAGCCUGCCGCAGCGUUACUGACGCUGAAGCUCGAAAGCGCGGGUAUCGAACAGGAUUAGAUACCCGUGUAGUC
rnacentral:rRNA from 1 species